CCUACGGGAGGCAGCAGUGAGGAAUAUUGGUCAAUGGGCGCGAGUCUGAACCAGCCAAGCAGCGUGCAGGAAGACGGCUCUACGGGUUGUAAACUGCUUUUGUACGAGGGUAAAGGGAGGUACGCGUGCCUGUCUGAAAGUAUCUUACGAAUAAGGAUCGGCUAACUCCGUGCCAGCAGCCGCGGUAAUACGGAGGAUUCAAGCGUUAUCCGGAUUUAUUGGGGUUAAAGGGAGCGUAGGCGGUCGGAUAAGUUAGAGGUGAAAUCCCGAGGCUCAACCUCGGAAUUGCAUCUGAUACUGGUAGGCGAGAGAGUAGUUGCGGUAGGCGGAAUGUAUGGUGUAGCGGUGAAAUGCUUAGAGAUCAUACAGAACACCGAUUGCGAAGGCAGCUUACCAAGCUACCUCUGACGUUGAGGCACGAAAGCGUGGGGAGCAAACAGGAUUAGAUACCCCAGUAGUC
rnacentral:rRNA from 1 species